rnacentral:lncRNA from 1 species
AAUAAAUUAGCAAAAGCAUAAUUUCUCCUAGGAAUUCUUAUCUUCUCUAGAAGCUGGGCUGUGGACCCGGAUUUGCAAGAGAAGCAGGAAGUCAUCUGUGAUACUCUGCCAAUCACACUGAACAGUCCUGCCAUCAGGUACACUGUUUUAGGGGAGCAGGAUGCAGAGCAGAGAGACUAUGACACUCGCGUGCCUUUACUUUGAAGCAGAAGCUGGUGAACAGGGAGGCUACCUCAGGAAGGUGUGUGUGGUGAUCAAGUCCCUCUGCCUGAGUCCCAAGAGCAAUGCAGAGUCUGUGGAGGGGUCAGGCUCUGGUAGGUUACCCUGCUCCUAUGACCUUGCGGACACCCAGUAAAUGAAAACCUUGCUGCUGGUCCUUGUGACUGUCUUGCUCGGCUGCAGAUCUUUUCUUGCGUGACCAGCUUGGCUGUGAGGUGUUAAAUUUGCUCACAGCCCAAUAGUAUGAGAUAUUAUCAACACACCUCUGCAAGAAGAGACACUGCUUUGUCUUUAGCCUGCCUGGCUCAGGCAGUAGAAUCAUGGCCAUGAAGAUCAUAGAGAAGAUCAGAAAUAUGUUUCACUUGUGAGGCAAAUAGAAUUCUCUACGUUUGUGAAAACCAGCCUCUGAGUUACCACAACCCCAGCCCCUCAGUUAGGUUAUCUUGAAGGGCAAACUUUCCAAGUAGAAAACCAUUGAUAUUUGUUCUUUGGAAGACUAAUUUCUACCACUGAUUUAAAAUAUUGUACAAUAUAUUAGCAAAAAGAAUAAAGCUCACCAGAAAAUUAUGGCUGUGAAACAGAGGAAUGUUGCUGCAUACCAGUUGAACAUGAAAUUCAAAAGUUAAUGUGGAGGGCCGGGGUCAUGACUCCAUGGUAGGGUGCUUGCCUAGCACGUGUGAGGCACUGGGUUCAAUCAUCAGCACUGUAUAAAAAUAUAUAAAAUAAAAGUCUUUUGUCCAUCUACAACUGAAAAAAAUUUUCAAAAAAUUUAAUAGAGAGUAGUUGCAACUACAAAGAAUGUCAAAACCAAGAGGUAAAGGAAUCUAGAUGUGUUAUGAUCCAACAAAAAGAGAAGUGAAACAUCCA